UAAGAUCUUUGCCACUUCAAUAGGAAC
rnacentral:piRNA from 1 species